AUUGAACGCUGGCGGCAGGCCUAACACAUGCAAGUCGAGCGAGCGGCGGACGGGUGAGUAAUGUAUGGGGACUGCCCUAUAGAGGGGGAUAACUACUGGAAACGGUGGCUAAUACCGCAUACUAUCGGAUAACCCAUAUGGGAUUAGCUAGUAGGUGGGGUAAAGGCUCACCUAGGCGACGAUCUCUAGCUUGUCUGAGAGGAUGAUCAGCCAACCGGGGACGUAGACACGGCCCAGACUCCGACGGAGGCAGCAGUGGGGAAUAUUGCACAAGGGGCGCAAGCCUGAUGCAGCCAUGCGGCGUGUAUGAAGAAGGCCUUCGGGUUGUAAAGUACGUGCAGUCGGGAGGCGUUACCGACAGAAGAAGCACCGGCUAACUCCGUGCCAGCAGCCGCGGUAAUUC
rnacentral:rRNA from 1 species